UGCAGGCUCCACCGAAAUAGUCACUCAUUCAGUUUGAAAUUAUUCGAAGUUAGUCCCAAUCGAAAGACAUAAAUAAUCAAAUAGCGUACGUGAUUAUGGUGGAUGUUUUUAAAAUAAACAACACAAUCCUUCGUUAAAGGCUGGAAAAUAGGCUUAACAACAUGUUCUAGCCUAUUUUCCAAGCUAUUACUGCUGAAACACUUUCCAAAUAGUCAACACAAUUUGAGGCGUGACACUCAAGGGACACAAUUUUCGUCAAUUAACAACGGAACUUUGGUGCGCGUCACAAACGUGUCACACGUUCGGGGUUCCCCCCGUGAGCUGGAGCUGGGCGUCGGGGGGGCACGGCGGAGCCGAGCGUGACAGUCAGGACCACCACCACCACCACAGCAUCCCCAUAGGGAGGGGGGCAUGCCUGCAGAGGCAUAACCACUCAGGGACCAGCAUGGAGGAGUGGAGGAGAAGGGGGAGGAAUUGGAGAAUAGAUAAUCUCAGGGACACCUGUGGCCAGCCACUGUCUCCGUCACAAACAACCGCCUUUGCAAAUCAGCGAGGGAACCGGGAGGAUACGCCCAGUCAGACGAUUGGAACAACAACGGCUCAUGAUGAAACCUCUCUGCCUAAAAAAUUAGCCACGCCGUGUUGCAGGGGUGAGCAGGAGUGUGUAGCCCAACUCAGGGGAGGACAAGACAAGAGAAGAGCCUUCUCCAAAUCCUCAGGUCUAGUUGCUGAGAAGGUAACCCCAGUGGGGGUGGUGGAGGUGCACAACCUAUGACAGAUUUGUCCUGCACUUUGUGGUGUUACUUCGUGGUUCUCUCAGCGGACACAGGCAGGUAACUUCACAGUCUACUUCUCCGCGAUCGUUUUUUUCCCACCGCUAGCAGCCCGGUGAGAAAUAAAAAAUACUUCAUGGAUGGAAAAGUUGUGUCGGUGGUUGUCCCAAAAUCCCAACUGCUGACAAAUUGACGUCAAAAAUCCAAUUUAAUUUGGAUAAAGAUGCUUAGCAAUAAUCUAUGUCUCCCUUUUGAACACAUCUUAUUAGUUGGAGGUCUUCCUGCUGUGGCAUAAAGGUGAUGAAAUGUCUCUUUUAAAGGG